ensembl:lncRNA
UGCAUGUAGAACAUUUUCUGAAUCAGCUACUGGGAUUACUUACCUACUUUACUUACCUCCUGUGUUCCUCCUAGUGUCUCCUCCUCUCCCAGUGUUUCUGUAUCCUCCUAGUCCUGGACUGCUGAGGUUUGUGCUCUUCCUAUGCACUAUUCGAACUCCUGUAAGGACAAAGACUGUUCACCGUUCCCUUUAUAUCCUUUGAACUGAUCCACAAACUUAAUACUCACCAUAUACAAUAUGAUACUACUCUGGCUUGGCAGAGGAAUGCAAUGGAUUCCUCCUUCAAUGUACACUCACAUUUGAAAUGCAACUGCAGUCAUAUUCUACUGACACUGCCAAAAUUGCUUUUAUUAUUUCCCUGCUAUCAGGACCUGUGUUGCAGUGGGUGGAGACUAUCUGGGCCCAGGCCAGCCCUGUCACUUAGUUUCCUGGUGCUAUCACUUGCAGCAGGGUGCCAUGUCAAUCAAUGAGUACUUGUUGAAGUUCAGGAUUCUUGCAGCAGUAAGUGGAUGGAAUGAGUGUUGCUGAUGACCUACAGACAGGGACUGGAGCCUCAGCUUCGUUUACAGCUUGCUGUGUAUGAUGCACUUGGUUUGGGGAAAUUUAUUCAGCUAUCCAGCCGUUGUUCCAACCGCAUGCAGUCCUGUGUAGCAGCAACACCAAUCUCUUACCUCCGCUGGCCAGAGCCCAGUUACCCUCCAGAACUCGAGCCCAUGAUUGUGAAGAGCCAACGGUUGUUGUCAGCUGAGCGGCAGAGAAGGCUGACCCGAGGACUCUGUUUGUAUUGUGGAACUCAGGGGCACAUUAUUCUGGCAUGCCCCCUUCACCCUCCACGUCCUGUGUAUCAGCCCUUAUCGACUCCGGGUCAGCAGUGAACUGCAUCUUAAGGAACCUCUGCCACCAGCUCAAAUUGCAAGCUACCUCCACCAAAAAGGUCUACCAAGUUCAGUCAAAAACUGGAAAUCCACUUUGUAAGACGUGUGGGACAUCACUCUUCAUCUUGGCCUUCACUCGGAGGAAAUCCAUCUUCUGGUUCUGGAGGGGUCUACUGCUGACGUCAUCCUUCUGAUGUUCUGGCCAUUUAUUUCCGGUUCCGGGAAAGCAAGAGGGUCUGGGACGCUGCUCACCAACAUCUCCAAAGGGCAGUGUGCAGGCAAAAGGUGGCACGCGGAAACGCCCACCUACCAAACAGGUCAAAAAGUAUGGCUAUCAACUCGGGAUAUCAGACUGCGCCUGCCCUGUAGGAAGCUCAUUUACAGAUUUGUUGGUCCCUUCACCAUCGUGGAACAAACCCCGGUCACCUACAGAUUACAACUUCCCUCACAGUACAGAAUUCAUUCCUCAUUUCACGUGUCACUACUCAAACCUCACCAUGAUCCUGUUUCUCUCCCCACAGAGCCUGGCCAGAUGGAGGAACCCCUCUUCCAUUGAUCCUGGAUGAGAGGUCAGUCUACAAGGUGAAGGAGCUUCUGCAGUCCCGGUGCCAUGGUGGUAAGGAUAUGGACCCAAGGAAUGUUCAUGGGUACCUAGGACCGACAUAUUAGACCCCGCCUUAAUGUCAGAGUUCCAUGCUGCUCAUCCCGAACUUCCGGCACCUCAGGGCAGAGGUAGACCACCAUAAUGUCAGGGUGUUCGGCUGUCAGGAGCUGGCUGUGGAAGGGGUGGGGGGGGGGGGGUUACUCUAAUGGAUCGGCCAGGCUCCACCACCCAAUCACGGUGAUCCCUGUCACCUGAGUUCUGAGCACUUGUCAUCGAUCAGCACCUCAUCAACUGGCUUGUAUAUAAUGCUGUGUUCCAGGCAGGUUUUUGAGCCCGUAAGUCACGACUUCAAACGACGACUCACGACUUUGUAGCAUUCCAGGCAAGUCACGCCAAACUUCCUGAGCACAAGGGAUUGUCGCUAGAUUAUUAAUUUUUUCCUAAAAUCUAUUUUUCAAUGUGUACUACUUGCAUAAACACUGUAUCCGUAGGCAAUAUUAUCUGUAGGGGCUGCCAUUGUUUCACAGGCUAUGUGACAUCAGAGCUCGAAACUGGGAGUACAUCGCUCUAGUAUGAGUUCACGGGUGGGAAGUCAAGGGUUUGACUGUUCCAGUGCACUUUCACUGGUAGAAGGUUGGAAAAAUAUGGGUUGCCUGGAACGCGGCAUAAGCACCCACCUCAGACACCUUCAUUGUCCGAUCUCGUACACACGUAGAGGACUCUCUGAAUCAGCUGCUACAUCUAUUGGAAUUACUGGCCUGCUUUACUUACCUCCUGUGUUCCUAGUGUCUCCUCCUCUCUCGAUGUCUCCGUAUCCUCCUAGUCCCAGACUGCUGAGGUGUGUGCUCUUCCUGUGCACUUCCCAAACUCCUGUAAGGACAAAGACUCUGUUCACCAUUCCCUUUAUAUCCUUUGAACUGAUCCACGACCUUGAUACUCAUCAUAUACAUGACCGGACUCCAUACUCUCUGUGACAAACAUCUUUUGCAUAUUUUUAACCUGCUGUGUCAAGACCUCUUCCGUUACAAUAGUACAGUAGGUGGCCAACCAGAGUGUUUUCUGCCACCGUGUCUGCAAAGUGCAUUUGCUGCUUUUGACCGCUGAGUGGCGCUUUAACCACAAGUUCUCAAACGCAUCAACGCAUAUUUUCACAAAUAGCUGUCAGCUUUGCCUCACUGGUGUGCUACAUUUGACGGCUGCAGUCAGAGCAAAAUGAAAAACACUGUAGUUAAAAUAUUUAAUAUUCACAGAAGAAACUUUAGUAGCCUGCUUAAGUUAUGUUUUUCUUAGAACGAAUAAAGCACACACAUACUUUGUUAUUCAUUACCUGUCAUUUAUUUUGAAAGAUAACAACUUGUGGGGGGAUAUCUGUCUGUA